UCUUUAGUAAUAUCAUAGCACCUCUCUUCUUACUAAUAGCAAUUACAAUUUAUUAAUCUUUAGGAUUACUGUAUUAGGAUAAUUUAAAAAUUGGAAAUAA